GAACGCACAUUGCGCCCCCUGGUAUUCCGGGGGGCACACCUGUUCGAGCGCCAUUUCAACCCUCAAGCCCCGCUUGGUGAUGGGCCCCGCCCGUGGGCGGGCCCGAAACUCGUGGGCGUCGUCGUUCGGCUCCAAGCGUAGCAAAACCCUCGCUUGGGCGCCCGGACGGCGGCCGCCCGGAACGAAUUUUUACAAGGUUGGCCUCGGAUCAGGUGGGGAUACCCGCUGAACUUAAG
rnacentral:misc_RNA from 1 species